UUGGGUUUUUGCUGUCAUUUAUUUUCAUUGAUUUCUUAACAUUAUUUUACAUUUUAAAUAAAAAUUGUGUAUAUUUAAAGUGCACAAUGUGUUGUUCUCAUGUACACUGACAUAGUGACAUGAUUACUAUGGUAAAGCUAAUUAACACUUCCUUCUCCUCACAUAACUCCUUUAUUUAUGUGUUGGGAGCAGCUCGGAUCUACUCAGCGACUUUCCAGAGAGCCGUGUGGCUUUACUAAUGACAGACAUCGUGGUGCAUUCCAGACCCCUGGGCUUGUUCAUCUGACGUCACUGCAACCUCCUGAUUCCACUCAAUAGGCCAAGACAAGCGGAAGCUCCGGUUCAGGGAGAACGUUCCCCAGGAAAUCAGGGCAGCAGAGUUUUCCAGGAACGGAGGCUGUGACGGUGGAGGGUGGCCAGGCAGCAGGAGGCCGGGGAAGCGGGUGUCCUGAAGCAGAGGCCGCGGCGCCACGUGUAUGGCAGCUUGCAGUGAACUGAACGUGCAGUGCUGAAGCACUUGUGAAUCAUCACACCUGCAGGGACCACCCGAUGGCAGACUCCCCGCGCUUCUGCACCGCUGCCUCCACGGGGCGGACUCCAGGCCCCUUGCAGUCCCCACCAGGCCCUGAAGACGCACUGACACUCAGCAGAGCUCACCUCCUGAGGACUCUCAGUAUACUCUUGUUCUCUGAGGACAGUGUCGCCCGGGUGAUGUCCUGGUGUGCUGCAUGGAUAUCCUGCGCGGGAACCCAGGAGACACACUGGUGGGAGCAGUGAUUGCAUUUGGCCAAGGCUCAUUCACCAGGAGAGUGAGCCAGUGGCCAUGUGCGGCAGGACCCAGGUGUGCAGCAGGACCCGGGCAGCUCUAGAAGUCCACAGGAGGAGCUACACGGGAGACGUCGUCCUUCCCAACACUGACACGGGACGCUAGUGCGCUCUUCCAACAGAGCUGCUUAGGAACAGAGGACUUAGAGGAGAAGGCAUGGGUGGGAGAGAGGGGCUGGGUAGUGAGCGAGGGAGAGGUGGGCAGAGGCCUGCGGUGGAGCCCACAGCUGGAGGCAGACAGCUCACUGGGGAGGAGAUGGGGAGAACAGAGGAGACUGUGACCACAACAAGAGAGUGUGCGUGAAGAGAAUCCAGAGUUCCUCCCCCUGUGCUGUGGGCAGAGAAGCACUGGGCUUGGCCAGCAGCAGAGCGGAGGCCGCCACCCUCUACCCACCAUCAAGGACCCGGGCAUCAAAGGCGGGAGCCAUGACCCUCAUCAGCACAGGCCUGUCUUUUUCCCUUCUGGAGUGUGAUGCUGUCCCGAUUUCAUGCACAGCUGUCCGGCCGCGGAGAGAAACGCAGGGUGCACGGCUUUCCUGUGCCCACUCUGGAAAGCUUCUCAUGUGCGCUGAGUUGGCCACAAGAUAGAUGAGUUAUUGUCUGAGGGGUGCUUGUACCCACUAGGGCCCUUUCAGAGUUGAGAGAGGCAGCAUCUUGCAGAGAGGAAUGUUCUAGAAACUUCCCUGUGAGCACCAGCUCCGCAGGCUCCUUCUGUGUGGUGAAGAUGUCUGUGACAAAAACACUCCCAAAGCCUAAGCAAGGGUGUGAGCGCCCUAGAGAGACCGUUUGCCCCACCCCGGAAAUGUUCAUUCCUGCCAUGGAACCUUCCUGUUCAUUCCACAGAGGCUGAGCCGGCUUGUGGGGCUUGGCAAGGACUAGGCGGGGGGCAUCGAACCCUAAGGAGCUGAGCCACCGCUGGGGUCGGGGUCCAGUCCUGGGGAACGCGGGUCCCUGGAGCACAGCAGGGCCUGACCGCCUCCGCGCCGCCCUCCCCGCAUUUCCUCUCCUCCUCCCCAAGCCCAUGGCUCAGAACACCGAGACCUGCCUCGCCAAGAAACGCCCAUUUAUUUCCUUCCUAUUUAUUUAUUUUGCAAAAGCCGCCUUUUGAAAGCCGGAGUGCAGUGCGGACUGGCUGAGGCCGGGGCCCAGGCGCGCGCCUCCUUCCUGCAGGCGGCCCGGGGCAUCGAUCGCGCGGGGCGUAAUGAACCCUAAUAACAG
rnacentral:lncRNA from 1 species